GGUCUUUGGCGCUGGAGCCCGGGCCGCAGCUCUCGAGCCCCCCAGGGCACCGCCCGCCGGGCGGGGGCGGCUCCUGCGCGCACACAGCGGCCCUCGGCGGCUCUCAGGUCGGCCGCAGGCCGUGCCAAGCGCCAAGACCCCAGGCCUCGGGGAGGGCGCCAUUCAGUUCUGCCGCCUCCUCCAGCCCUGCGUAGCCGCCCCGCGUCUGUCGUCAACCGCGGCAGCCGCCCCGACGUCACAGCGCAGGCGCACGCCCGCCGCUUCGUCUGCAGGGGCGGGGGACGCGGCGGUGCUCGACCCUCAGAGCUGCUCGCCGCGCGCGGCCCGGGCUGCCCCGGACCCCGAGAAAUCCUGCAGGCUGAAGCCGCCUGGUGGCCACACGCGCACUGCGGGCACUUGCCUUCCGGAGGGGCGGAGCGGACCGCUGAGCUCUCGGGACAGAGGCCGCCGCCUCGCGAGUCGAUGCGGAACUAGGUCCUCCGGUUACCGUCCAGCGCGGACAGUGGGGCGCGGCCUGCCAGCGGGGGCCGGGCCUCCGGCUGGGGCGGGUCUGCCCCGGGGACACGGCCGAGCCCGCGGGCCGCCGGCGUCG
rnacentral:lncRNA from 1 species